UACGUAGGGGGCGAGCGUUGUCCGGAUUCAUUGGGCGUAAAGCGCGGGCAGGCGGCCCGCUCAGUCGGCCGUGAAAGCGCCGGGCUCAACUCGGCGCGGUCGGGCGAUACUGGCGGGCUCGAGGCUGGUAGAGGGCGGUGGAAUUCCGGGUGUAGUGGUGGAAUGCGUAGAGCUCCGGAGGAACACCAGUGGCGAAGGCGGCCGCCUGGGCCAAUACUGACGCUCAGGCACGAAAGCGUGGGGAGCAAACAGG
rnacentral:rRNA from 1 species